UUUGCGUGGACCCCAAGCAACCACCGGCCUUUAUAAAGCGGCCGAACCUCCUUUUCGUCGCCAUUCGAUCGGCGACGGGAAACCCGCCCUCGCUAGCACCCAGGAGCCGGAAAAUGCUGACGAUUAGAUCCCUUCCCACGGGAGCCGCUGGAGAAGAAAGGUAACAGUAGCCGUAUAAUUUUCUUUUUUUGCUUCAUUUGCCGAUCGAUACGCCUCUACUGGAUCCGAUCCAAAAUCUUGAUAUAUCAAGAUCUUGCAUAUUCUUUUCUCUUAUUCUUUCUCUGAUUCUGUUGAUCCUACUAUUUGUGGGUGACGUCUCGUGAAUUCUAUGUAAGGUUGAGCCAUUCCCCCUCCUUAGAAGCAAUAGAUCGAUCGACGUUUUAAACGAUUCAUUCGAUUCCAUGGAAUUUCUUUUAUCGAUCAUGGGUUUCUCUCUGGAUCUACAAAAAUGCAUUUGUUCUGUCUCCGAUGAAUCAAGGUAUUCGACUAUGUCCUCUCGGAUGUGUCUGGGUGAUGAUGAUGCGCUGCUUAACGAAGGUGUGGAAACGCCUUAUGGUUCGACCCGACUUAUGAGUUACAUAUCUUGACUAACAAUAGCUUCCUGUUCUUGUCUUAUCUGUGUUAAGGUCGGAGAAGCUGAAUUCUCCGUGGGUUCUCGUUUGUUGCCAUGUCUGUCCCUCGGAAAAUCCUGACAUUCUUCCAUUCAGUUGGGAAACCUGUUUUAUGCAUCUUCUUAUUUCUUUCUCUCUCUCUGCUCGUGCUCAUGCUUUGCAACAUUUCAUCUACGUGAGUUCAUCUGCAAAUGCAUUGUUCCUUACUCUGAUCUGAUCUUAGCUAUAUUUAUAUUUAUCUGUUAUGUUGUAAUGUUUUUCAAACACAUCUCAUGUAUGUCUUCACAAAGUAGUUCGUCACUGAGAUUAGGAUUGACCGAGUGAAGGAAGGCAUCACUUAUCUAACGUCUUGACCAACAAUGAGUGUGAUGUCUUUGUAUUUUGCCCUUUGCUAGUAGAUUUCACUAUUCCAGUACUUACAUCUAAUAAAUCCCCACAACUUCGAGAUACCUUGAUGUGUAUAGCCACCAUGGGGAUAACUAGUUUUGGUGGGAAAAUCUAGAGAAUAACCUAGACAUUAUCGUAAUUUUUUCUUAUAUUACCUGGGAUGUUCUUUUUUAUCUUUUUAACUCAUGGCAUACUGUAAUUGGUUUCAGAACCCCGAGAGAGGAAUGGGAUUGGUUAGAUGUUAUCAAGUCUAUGAAAUUUGCGGAAGUCAGAGACGAUCUAAAUCAUUGCAUUGCUUGAUAUGCUGGAAAUUAUUUGCAACCAAACAUAAAGUUUCUUGAUAAGAGAUCAUUAGUUCAUCUUUAUCAAAUUGUGAGACCUUUUUUUUUUUGUUGUUAGAGGUAUUUCACUUAUAAAAUAAUUCUAUGGAUCAGCACUACAAAGUUAAAUAAAAUGUUCUUAUUCUUGUUUGAAGCUACCAUAGCUUCCCAUAUAUUAAUACAAAAUCAGCAUUUAUAUAGCUUCUAAACGAUGAAAAAAUUUUGGUUCUACUGUAUCCAAAAGUGUGAAUAUAUGACUUGGUGCAUUCAGAUUUCUGUCGUAUUCAGCGGUAUUGCUCAUCUGUUUUGUAUGUCAGGUUCGUGUACAUAUGAAAUUUUUUAGGAUUUUAUUUGGUGUCCUCUAACCACAAAUAGAACUAUAGUUUUAGAAAGUAACUUCGAGUUGGGGAAAACCCAAAUAGAACUAUAUUUGGAUGGAUGACUUCUUAGAAUAUUUUAAUGUUAAGUUCAACUUAUUUUGACAUAAUAAAAUAGGAAAAUUCUGUUCUGAGUUUGUAUGUCUCAGUGUACAUGUUUAUUUUCCCCACUGCUGCCACAAAUGACAUCAGAAUUUCAUAUCUGGCACUGAUUUAUUCCUUUCUAAUGCUUUUCAUUCUUUCUCCUUCACUUGAACUUAAUCUCUUACAUUUCAAGACCACUUGUCCUGACCUUGAAGAUGUAGCUGAAUAUCAAAAAGCUACAUGUUUUAGAGACAUAUUUUGUUUGGCUAUGUGAGUUCAAGAAUACAAUUGGUGGAAACAUUGCUACCAUUGAUGAGUAACAUCAUACCACAAUUUAUCCAUAACAAUUCUAUAUAUUUCUUAUCUUAGUUCACUUGCAUGUGUUGUUUAAAUUUUUAUUUGUUGCACCAUUACCUACCUUUGUUAGAUGCUUUUCUAAGAGAACCUGGAGCAUGAAACGGUGCAUUUAUAGGAUGUAAAUGAUUGACAACAUAGGUAACUAGAGCAGAACUGGAAUCAGACUGUCCGGCUAGUGGUAUGAUUUAGAUCGAUUGAACAGUCUGAUUGGGUUGGUCAUAUGGGAACCAAUACAUAAAAUAAAUCUAAAUUCAAAACUAGAAUUUUAAUCAGGCCAGUAAAUAUAAUAAUAUAGUUGCAGUAAAUUAUAAUGUGCUUAAUCUGAAAAUAUACAUUUAGUUUGUUUAUUUAAGUCGGACUAGAAUACUAUGUGAUCGAACAGCUUAAAAGCUUCACUUCCAAUCAUGUCUUAGUUCUUCCAAUCCACUCUGAUUACACAAGUCGGCUCAUACUAAGAUAUUUAAUUUAUAUGAUUUGAUUUAUUAAUUCUGACUAGGUUAGCGUUAGUUGACCGCUUAGUAUUCCAUCAUACUGAUUAGAUAUAGAGGGCAAGGAGGAGAGGACGAGAAGAGGAUUGAAGGAGGUGGUGGCAGCAACGGAGGAGUACCGAUUUUUAACAUGGGAUCUAAAUUGCAUGGGAUCUUAACAUAUAGGUGUGUAAGUUUGUUAACGAUAUGAUAUUUUUAGAUAAUAAGAUCCAACUAAAUUGUUAUAUAUACAAUACAAAUCCUGUUGGUUCUUAUGGGUUUUUCAUUAUUUUGUCACCUUUUAGGAUAAGAUAUUAAUCGUACUAGACCUACACGUCGAAACUUCUAUCUUUAAAAUAAUGCUCUAAAUUUUGACAAAGGUGGAUGUCGUGUUUGUAAUCUUAAAAAAAGUUGGAUAUUAUGUGGAUAGAGUAUGACAUCUGUUGUGUUGACCCUUCGACUGGAAUGAUUUUUUUUUGUCUCCCAGAUGUAGUAAUCGAUCGCUAUCUGUUCAAUUGGCAAAAAGUGUCAUUAUAAUUGUUCUCGUAAUCAAAGAUUCAUUGCACUUUGUAUUUACCAAACAGCUGCUUAAAUAUUUAAAUUGUGUCCUACCAAGCUCGAGAUAACUAGCUGCAGUAUGCACCAUGUUUACAAGGGAGACGGAAGAAGCAGUAGUCACUUCUCUUUCUAAGAUUAGAUCGCUAAAACUGCAACAGCAAGCUACUUAUUUGUUUUUGUACGGGUUGAAUUGUUUAUCAAAAUUGUACUUUCUUCAGGUUGAAUCAGACCUCUUUGAGAACGAAUAAUUGCAAAGGAGAGCUGGCUUCAUUAGGGUAAAUAACUGCCAAUAAUAGGUUCGGCGCUUAAUUCCUCUUAUUUAUUUGGAUGCAUUAUUCAGUAUAUCAUUUUUUUUUUUUAUGGUUCUGCUUGCUUGAGGGCUAUCACACCUUAAAAAAAAAUAUAAGAACAACGCUUAACUCAUGGGGCACUCGAAAACUUAUUUUAUAUUCGUUUGUUUGGUUUUUCCGGCGAUUCUUCUUCUUAUUCUUCUGUUUUUUUUUUUAUCGUCCCGAAAAAACAAAUGAUCCAUCUUGGAACUGCUUCGCGAAAAUGAAAAUGAUAUUUUACUUGGACUGGAUCACCUCGGUUAACAUUUUGGUGUGGUGCGUACCUGGCAUCCACGAGUCGGUGUGGGAGGCGACAUCGCAGUCCGCUACAUCACCUGACGCCUGAGGUGUCAUUUUGUCCACUAAUUAGCAGUAAUCAUCGCCCUGAAAAUUUACAGGGGUGAUUCGGUACACCUGUAGCGGUACUUUUGUAGCUAUCAAAGAGCCUCGUUAGUUCUACUGUCAAAUUUCCAUGUCAUCCGUGUGUCCCUCGAUUGAGUGCUGAUGCAGUCGUAUGAAUGGAGCCGGUGGACAACGUCUUAUCCGUUUCUUUUAAGAACUACCCACGUGAGAUGUAAUUUAGACAAGGAAACCUGACCACUUGCGUUAUUUUUCUAGUGUUCUAUUUGUUAACCAUCUUAGAAAAUUUUGCUUGGCUGCGCAUUCCAAGAUCCGAUCAAAUGGCUGUCAAUGGCGGGACCCAUCCGUCCGACAAUAUGAUGCAUGUUAUGGACCCGGGCGACCUAAAGCCACUCCGAUGUGCUUUGAUUCGGCUCGAAGUUCCCGGUACGUGCUUCGAGCUACUCAAAAUCUUCCGGCUCACCCACUAUGGUGGGUGGCAAACGCAACGCUUAAAAAGUAUAAUUCUGAGGAUAUUAUACUUUUAAACAGACAAUGUUGGUUCUCACGUCGGUUCCAAAUUAAAGCUCUGCUGUGACGUCAGUAGCCUCGUGUCAGUGGUCCUGCUGCCAAGGCUUAGGUUCCGUGGGGUCGACAGAUCCUUGUUUUUGUUCGAGCUGAUGUGACUGCAUGGGGAUGAGCCCAUGAGAGGGGACCACGCUCUGUUGAUUGCAUGCGAUGCUACAACAAGUUUAAAUCACUGCUCAAGGGAUCAUGUAGGUGUGAUAGCCUCUUCUCGGUUGUACGUGUAGCUGGAACUAGCCGUAUGUACGAUCGCCUCAUCACCGGUGGGUCAAUCCGCAUUUGAUUGUGUGGUGAACGAAGCCAGCAGGACAGACUGAUGCAGGAUUCAAUAUCGGUAUCGCGGCGAUGGGGUGUUGGAGGAUGGUACAAAUCUGUUAGGCCCUGUAGCAAAGUUUCCGUCUAUAUAUUAUUAUGCGUGCGUAUAUUAGCUUAGGUUACGUAAAUAGACAAUUUUUAAUUUUUCUCCUUUCCCACUUUCUUUCUUUUCCAAGUUGCUAUUAGAUAUUUCUUGCUUUUGAUCGGGGGUUACUCGGUGGUGUCUAGGUUAAUAGCAGUAUUAUUUAGUGCCACGCCAAAAGAAAGAAGCGUUAUCAAAUGAUAGCAACAUUCUUGUGGAGGGUCUCGAGCAUAGUUAUAUAGAUUGGAUCGUAUCAUAUGAUGAGAUAUGAGAAAUUGAGAAUUGGAUCAUUACUAAAUGUAGCUCAUUUAUGAGAUUCGUCUCCUUAGAUCGAAUGAUCCGAUCGAUUUUUGGAUAGCUAGUUUGAACCAAGUUCGUCUGGAUUUGUAAUAUACUUAAAAUUACUUAACUAUCCUUCAAUUAAAAUUUAGACUAUUUAAUUUUAGGGGCAUUAGAAUAAAUUUAAAAUUAGGAUUAAGGGUUAAGAAAUUAUUCGGUUUGUUUUGACCACUCUUCUUUCCCUAUCUUCGUUUAGCGUUCUUUUUCAAAUCGUGCAACUCUCUCUAUCUUUUUCUUUCACAUAUUUCUCUCUAUUUCCUCUCGCUUAUCUUUCUUGUGUAAUCACUUCCAUUGGUCCCUGUUUUCAUUAUUAUUCCUCCUUGUUGUAUUUGGUUACAAUGCAUGAUACAUGUCAUGAUCCGAUCUGAUAGGAUAACAAACAUGUUAACUUCAUUAAACUUGAAUCAUUGGCUUAAAAUGCUUAACCUCAAGUUAACUUUUGAUGUAGGAUUAAAUUAAGAUAUCAUAAUUUUUCUAAUUUAAGGGUUUGACAUUCUCAUCAAAGCCCAAUAUAACCCAGAAUCAUAUCUUAGCUUUGUGGUUGCGAUACCUAGCCUAGUUUUAUUCCGUAAAGUAUGCUCUCACAUCAUCCAUAGAUAAUUUUUUCCUACUCGAGUCUCUUGUUAUUCUCCGGUACAAGGUCUACUCUAAUACCAAUUAUGAUGACUCGGUUCAAUGAGAUAACUAACUUAUUAAUUUUGUUAGACUUAAAUCAUUGACUUUAAAUGCUUAAGUUUAAAUUAACAUUAGUAUAUCUAUUAGAUCCUUAUUUUUGUCUUCUUUUGAUAUAGGACUAAACCCGAUGUUAUAGAAUGAUAGAUGAAGUAUUUCUUUUGUGUUAUUGGAUAAUUUCUUUUGGUUUGGAUUAUUUUUUAAAUGUUAACAUGUAUUAUUCUUUAAUCUAGAGAUACAUAUCUACAAUAUUGGAUGAUGUUACUCCUUUUACAUUAUUUUAUAUAAUUGAUGUUUUAUUUAAAUUAGCUUUUAGUAUUGUUUAUUUUUUUAAUUUUAAUAUUUUAUACUCAUUUUAAAAUAUUUUAAAAUAAUACAUGUAAUUUUGAGUUGCUUUGUGUAUUUUAAAAAUAAAUUUAAAUAAAUAUAUGGUCUAACCAGUGACUCAAGGCUCGACCAAGUUGUUUUCCAAUUUGGUUUUGAUAAAUAUGAUUUUAAGAAGUAAAUGAUAGUCUUAUAAAGCAGUGCUAAUAAAAUCAUUAAAACACUACGUGACACUAAUUUAUGCAAUGUCUCUUAUUUAUCAUCGACAUUGAUGUCAUCAUGGCUAAUCUUUCUCAUUCAACUGUUACUUCAUUUUUGGUUGAUACUUUAAAUAAUAUUAAUACUUCAAAAUUUUAUUAAAAUUAUAAGAACUUGGCAUAUAGUUAAUCAUGGUUAAAUGGAUAUUAACGGGAGACUUAUAGUGUAGGAUCUCAAUAUUUGAAGAUAUAUAUAUAUAUAUAUAUAUAUAUCGUAUAUCAAUUUUUUUUAAGGGGAAUAUGAUAUUUUCCUACUUUGAAAGAAUAAAUACGUAAAAGCCCAAAAAAGAUUGAGGCGUGUUAUUCAAAUGAAAAUAGGUUGCAUUGGAUAAGUAUUAACGUUGUAUCAAAUCUAGAUGGCUUAAAGAAAUUAUGAUAUGUGAUUUAAAUUGGAUAGCCAAGGAGGUCAUGAUAUCCAAUAAAUUUUAUUCAUAAUUUGAAUAAAUAUGAAGAGAAAACUAAUAUCCACAAACAUGUAGUUAAGUGUCGUGUGUCUCGACAUGUGGCAUCAUGAUCGGUCAGUAUGCAUUCCUGUCAGACGCCACCAUAAUUUUUUAAUCUCCAGACAUGAGAUAGAUAUUAAAACAUUAUGAUAGAACUAAUCGGUAAGAAUGACUUGGCAAAUGAGUAUGUGUCAUGUGUCUCGACAUGUGGCAUAAUGAUCAGUCAGAAUGAACAUUCAUGUUAGACGCCACCAUACCACAAAGAAGGUUUGAGCUCGCGAUCAAGUGGUUUUUGAUCCGAGCGUCACCUAAGCGGUUGAACCCAUAAGGGGUGUGGGAGAUGGAUUGGCUGUCACAUGUUUGAUUAACCAAAGAUCGGAGCCAUCCAAUCAAUAUGUUCAGACAAUAUGGGUGUCAGACACACCGGAUUCGGAUCGGUUGUCACAUAUUCGAAUAUGAACCACUUAGUUGGUCGACACAUGACAAAAUGACAUUGGUUAAGACCAGGCUCCACAAUCAUUGUAAUCUUUUAAAUCCCCAAGGCACGUGCAAGACUCGUGUGUAUGUUAGGUCGCAUGAAAUGUGACAUCUCUAUCAAUUGAAUCGAGAAAAUUAUGAUUUGGCUAAAUUCAACGGAUGCCCAAAAUGAUGCUCCCGUUGGUGAUCAAGGAAUGGAUGGCGCAUAUAGACCAUCACAUCGUAGCCCCCAUCCGAACUAUCGAAUAGUCGAUGCGUCGAGCAUGCUGACUAUAGUGAACGAUAGCACAUGUCAACCAUGACCAAAUAGUAAAAUGAGUUGACCCAGGUCAAAUAGCCAAAUGAUAGAAUUGACAUAAUACAACAUUACGUGGCUCAUGGUCCAAACAUGCAUUUCAACGACGACUUAUAAGGCUAAAUGCAUAUUUUGAUAACAUAGUCCAUCGGUCGAAUGUGUAUUUCAAUGAUGCAUAACUCAUAGAUUGAUUGCGUAUUUCAAUGACAUGUGGCCCACGAUCCGUGAUUCAACAGUAUAAUAUAUUGGGGUCGAGAAAAUCUUUCGACAACAUCCUUCUUACGAGAACGAAGAUACGUCACAUGCACUAUCGAGUGCGCUUUUGGCUCAAUAUAUUUAUGAAGGCUAAUGAUAGAUAAGAAUGAUGUCACAAGUAAGUGUCACGUGUCGAUACGUGGCAUCAUGAUUAGCCAAUACGAACAUCCAUAUCAGAUGUCACCAUACCACCACAAAGGUUUGGGCCUGCAAUCAGGUGGUACAACUGCCACAUGAGCGAUUGAUCUCAUAGGGGCGCGAGCGAUGGAUCGGUUGCCACAUGUUCGAUCAAACUAAAGAUCCGAGCCAGCCAAUCAAAACAUUCAGAUGAUAUAGGCAUCGAUGUGUCAAACAAGGCGUCACUCCAUCGCUUAGGUUACUAGUUGUUCCCCAUCUUCGGUCGAUCGGCUAGGGAAUAAUUGUCAAAGAGUUUGUCUAUGAAAAAUGCUAAUAUGAUCACUUCAAAUUUAAAAAGUACUGACUUGACUUAAUUAUCAUAGAGAUCGUGAUUGGGAUCGCUCAUCGUUGACUUAAAAGGAAGAUCAUCUGAGAAGAGACAUUAUUGUUGGUUCUGAAUGUUUAUUCCAAACAAUAAAGAAUCUGACUUAUCAGGAAUUAAAAUUUAGGUAAAAAACACAAGUUUCAAGUGUUGUGGCAUGUUAGGGGACAGUAGCUUUUGCGGCCCUGUUCAUCUAAAAGAGCUAAAGGAUCAAUCUGAGCGUCGGAGACAGCUUGGUUGUGGUUCCGGCUAAGAUGAGGGCCAUGCAGAAUCCCCCACCUCACGUGGUGGCACUGGCAACCUCGAGUAAUGGAGACGAGUCAUUUCUUGCAGAAGCAAAUUUACAAGUGCUGACACCGAAGCUUUGAAGUACUAAAUAUAAUUCAGCCAGGAGAUGAUGCAGAACUCUCUCCAGUAGCGGAACGGAUUCAUAAGGUCAAAGACACUUUUGGAUGCCUUCGUUCCAAGAGAAAGAACGACCGAUACUAGUGUAGAGAUGCAAAAAAAGAUGGCUCGUUAUGGUACGCGUAACAAGUACGCGUUCCCCUCCUCGCCUCCGUCGCACAAAGCCGCCUUGGAACGAUGAUGGUCACAAAGCAGCCGACGUGUAGCGAUAGUGUUGGAGCAGGCGGUUGGCCUCCCUGAUCCCACUUAGAUACGCUCCAUGCGUGGUAGAGUAGUGCGUCCUAUGCGUCGCCUCCCCAGCGAACAGUAUCUGCAGCGCGGGAGGGGGAGAAACCACGUCCCUGUCAUCCGGCUCCCCGCCCCGACCACGACGGGGCAGCGGCUCCGCCAUCAGAUCCAGAUCGUCCCCGCUCGAUCCGACAGCCACGUAGCUGUAGGAGCCCAAGAACAGCGGGUCCUUUCCCCACCCGCUCCGCUUCACCCUCGAGAUCCUCCCCGGGUAAGUCGGCGCCGCUCCUACGCCGUUGCAUCGUCGGUCCACCGAGCCGGCGGCCCUCGUGGCCACCCCCGGCAGAAAGGCGUGGAGAGUGAGGUGGAUACUACGGAUGACCUCCUCGUCGGGGAGCGCCUCCAGCUCCAGCGCCUCCUUCCCGGCGAACCACGCCUGCAGCACGCGCGAGCUGUCGUAGAUGGGGCAGAUGGAUGCCGUCUUUCUUAUCCAUCGCGGAAUCUCGGCCACGCGCCUCCUCCUGUCCUCCUCCUCCUCCUCCUCCUGGGCGAACGCCAUCUGCAGGAAUGGGAACGGCCCCCCACCUUCGGCGGCGUCCAUCUCCAUGAACAGCUUGUUCACCACUCCGAACCCCAGCCGUUCGAUGGCUUCCCGCUUAAACACGGGCAGGGCCGGCGAGAACGCUACCCCGCUGCCUUCUUCUCCUCGUUUUCCCAGCCCAGCCUUGAGCACCCCCAGCGACACCGUAACGAUCACGUGGUCUGCCACCAUCGCCGAGUGCUCUCCCUCGAAGUAUAGCCUUACCGGGUCGCCGUCCCUGCAUCCGUCGUCGCCGCCGCCGUCGUCGUCGCUGCCCGAGCGCCACUCGAUGCGCUGAAGGAGUCGACCGAAGCGGAUCAUGCCCCGGGGGAGGGCCGAGGCCAGGUACUGAACGAUCCGCGAGUAGCCUUGAGCGAUGGUGAUAUGGUCCCCGGGGUAGUCCCGGUACUCCCCCUCUGCGGCGAGGUUAAGCUCCUCGAGGUCGUCCGCGGAGGUACAGGUCCGCUCCGUGAACUCGUGCAUCGUGAACACGGCCUCCUCCAGUUCCUCAAGAUUCCAGUCGGUGCUGCGACUGCCGCCAUCACCGCCGCCGCCAGUGCGCGAGGCGCGAUACUCUUGGAGACCGUGGCGGAGGAACUGGCCGACGCCGGGGCGCUUUGGAUCCACGGGAGCGUCGCCAGCCCGGGCCGAGUCCAUGAGUCGGCGGUAGAGGGAGGUAAUGGGGGCGACGACGAGGGAGGGGUCGAUGAGGGUGCCGCCCUCGGCGACGGUGAUGGGAUCCGAGGGAAAGCCGUCCAUCCGCUCCCAGGGGCAUGAGUCAUGGGCGAGGGCGCCGAUGUCGCUGGCGAGGGCAUGGAUGGGGCUACCUCGGAUGCCGUGGAUCCAGGUGGCGCCCAUUUCGAUGCGGUCUCCGGCGAACUCGGAUGUGAGGAUGCGGCCGCCGGUUCGGUGGCUUGCCUCCACGAUGCAGAGGUCGAAGUGGUCACCGGAGGAGGCGGUGUGGAGUCGGUGGGCAGCGGUGAUCCCCGCCAUGCCCGCCCCAACGAUCACGACGCGAGGCUUCUUCGCUACCAUCAUCUAGUGCUACUCUCUUCCUUCGUGCGGGGGGGCAGAAGCAGGGGAGUGGUUUUCUAUUUAUGUUUAUAUAUAUUUUUAUCUCUACUGUCUUAUUUUCGUUUCGGUUUCUUUGGGGGGAGGAUUGAUAGAGGGGCGAAAGAGGGCGGAGUCGUCAGCGUAGUGUAUUAUUAGGGGGACGGAGGAAACACGACAAGAUAGAUAGAACCUAAAGGGCCUGGAGAGAGAAGGAAAAAGAAAAAGGUGAGGGAGAGAGAGAGAGAGAGAGAAGAAAAAGGAGGGGUCAAGUAAUUUUUGAUGAAUCAAUCGAGUGAGGACGAGCCCUUCCUUUUCCAUGGUGACGUUUUACUGUAGAAUUUAACUGCUAAAUCUUUUAUGGUCUUAUGCCAAAUAAAACAUAGUAGGAGCUUAAGUAAGAGAGUCGGCAAUUCCGUGAGAGGGCAGUCAUAUGGAUGCAGUUUCGCCUAAAAAACACCAUGACUUUUUUCUGCUUUCGGAACCCAUUGGUCGCAUGUACCAACCGACGAGACAAGGGCGAUUAGGGCGAAUUACCUUUGUAGCUUCCUAGCAUUCGCCUUUGACUUGCCACCCUCUCUAUCUAUACGUGGAAUGACCCGGGAGACUAGGCCUUCUCGAGCCACUCAACUCCAACACAAGCAUCCGAUUCCCUUUUGUUUUUGGGGGCAGAUCAAGUCCCGAGAGAUUGCACCACCCCACCCUUGUGUUGCUCAACUUUAUUCUAUUCCGAGCUCACCCUCGAAUGUUUCCAAGGGGUGGGUGGGUGGGCGGUGAUGAAGAACCCAUGAACGAACGUACUUGUCGAUUAACGAAAAAGAUCUGGUAGAUUUAAGUGGCAGAUCAACCUACCAACAAUCUUUGGAUUAUUUCCUUAAAAAGUUUAUUAUCAAUCUUACUUCCAGCGUGGCAGAUCAACUUACUUUACUAGGGGCACCUGACGUCAUAUUCCAUCGUCAAUUGCUCAAUUACUACUAUGUAUCAGUCUCCUUCGCUGCUGCAGAACCGAUGAGCAUGAAUCCGGGAUCUGCCUCUCUAACCUCUGUGGAUGCCCA
rnacentral:lncRNA from 1 species